rnacentral:rRNA from 1 species
UACAGAGGUCUCAAGCGUUGUUCGGAUUCAUUGGGCGUAAAGGGUGCGUAGGCGGCGCGGUAAGUCGGGUGUGAAAUCUCGGAGCUUAACUCCGAAACUGCAUUCGAUACUGCCGCGCUUGAGGACUGGAGAGGAGACUGGAAUUUACGGUGUAGCGGUGAAAUGCGUAGAUAUCGUAAGGAAGACCAGUGGCGAAGGCGGGUCUCUGGACAGUUCCUGACGCUGAGGCACGAAGGUCAGGGGGAGCAAACGGGG